AUUCCUACGGGAGGCAGCAGUGGGGAAUUUUGGACAAUGGGGGAAACCCUGAUUCAGCCAUGCCGCGUGAGUGAAGAAGGCCUUCGGGUUGUAAAGCUCUUUCGGCUGGGAAGAAAUCGCACAGGCUAAUACUCUGUGUGGAUGACGGUACCAGCACAAGAAGCACCGGCUAACUACGUGCCAGCAGCCGCGGUAAUAAU
rnacentral:rRNA from 1 species